rnacentral:snoRNA from 1 species
UUGCACUGGCUUUAAUAAAGGGCUUCGCUAAAUUUAUGAAAUAGUGCGGUUCUUAAGCGACAGUGCAUAAAGGGAAAGCUGAAUUAAUCAGCGGCGGCCAGACAACCGCUGAGAUGAAUCCACAGAUGGGUUCCUAAUGGUUCUUGUCUACUAAUUUCAUCUCACAUUC